ensembl:lncRNA
CUCUGAAAGCCUGGGCUCCACUGACGUUUCACACAUUCCUCCCUGAAUCCAGGGAGACUUUGAACUCUAGAUGGGAGUAGAAUUCUUAUGCUUGUGGUGGGACAUGAUUAGGUGAAUUCUAUUUCACCAUCUUGGUGAUGUCACUUUUUCCUCAGCAGUGGUGUGUGUGCGUGUGUGUGUGUUUGGUUGGUUGAUUGUUUUGGCCAAUUUGGCAAAGCUUUAAGCUUCAUCGUGGGGCUGGAAAGGGCAGGAGAGUGUAAGUCCUCAGCACUGGGAUUUGUUGUUUGUUUCCUUUUCACUAACAGGUAUUUUGUAUUUUUGGCAUUCUUGGUUUUCAAGUUAUGUUGAGGGUGAGGUUUUGCUUAGAAAUUUCUUAGUGGUAGAGUUAUUUUAUACCGCUUGGGGAGGAGGUUGUGGAAGUUACUCAUUCCUCGUCUUCUGCCUUCUAUUGUCUUCAGCUAUGCCAAAGAUCCCCUGGAAACUGCUCACUGAAAUAACUCAGAGAAAAAUUGUUAAUGCACUUGAUGGAGAUCAACUGAGAAAAAAGAAACGGCCUAUCAAGACAUGUUCCUGACCACCUGGAAGACUGUGUGACUGGGCAGAGAAGAGAGUGCUUUUACCAGCUUCAUCCUCCUUCCAGGUACCCUUUGUUCUCUGAUUCCUUUCUGGAAUUCAGGAACAGCCAGUACUGUGCCAUCUCCCAGAUGAGUCCUACUCCUAAUAGACAUCGAUAAGUUCUGUUCUUACUAAUCUCAUAACAUCAUCUAGAAAAGCGAAGGCUUGAGCAUGUGGUGUUUUCUGAGCCCUCUAACAGAGCCUCCAAACUACCUAGAGCUUUCUGAGGGCAUAUCUGAAUAUGUGGAUGAGACGUUAGAAGAAGGGGGAAAAUGACUUGAUUUGGGGUCUUCCUUGCACAUCUAAGUUGCCUAAAAUGCAUUCAAGCCACUCCCAGUGGCUUCCAUGAGUACAGCAAAUGUCAAGUUUUCAGUUACAGGAGGAGACACAUAUUCUCUGUCCCAUUCCUCUUGUUCCCACCACCUAGACCCAACAACACAACAUCCAAUAAGCCCUGGAGCCCCGGCUCCAUGAUCAUCCUUGAGAAGGAAUAAUAGAGCAGCUACUGGACAGCUCAAGAAAAGCUGAAGCCACUUUUUAUGCCCUGUCUAGAACUGGGACAGAGAGACUCUCUUUCAUCCAGUCAUUAGUCCAGCCCUCUCAGGGUAAGCAGGUGCCAGCCGUAGGAGGUAAAACAGCCAUCCAGUGUUUAUCAACUCUUACCAUGUCCCUUGAUCACACAGCAUUUCAUUCAAUUUAGAACAGAAAGUACCCCUUGAUAUUAUGACGAACCACCUCCUCUCAUUAAGGAUGAGAUAACUGAGUCCCAGAGAGGAGGAUGAAGGUCUUUUACUCACAGAGUGCGCCAUAGCCAUGCUGGGCCUAGAACUAAGAUGUAGAGCUAACUUCUUAAUAAGGUCACAUUGAUGGAUCCAUUUGAUCUGGACCAUGAAAGGUGGUCCAUAGGAUUGAGACUGACAGCCUAGCCUGAUGGAACAGCAUAAGGUAACACGUGAAAGCAAAAGCAAAGAGAUGACACUGCAGAUGGAAGCACCCCCUUAUUCUCUCAUUUUAAUUAACUCAGUGUUUUCUAUUUUUACCUCAUUACUUUCAGGAAAAUGGCUUUGAUAGAACAUUCAGCCUCAGGUCCAACACAGUGGCUCAUGCCUGUAAUCCCAACACUUCAGGAAGCCAAGAAAUGUGGAUCACUUGAGGCCAGGAGUUUGUGACCAGCCUGGCCAAACUCGUGAAACCUCGUCUCUACUUAAAAAUACAAAAAUUAGCUGUACAUGGUUGUACAUGCCUGUAAUCCCAGCUACUUGGAAAGUUGAAGCAUGAGAAUUGCUUGAACCUGGGAGGCAGAGGUUGCAGUGAGCCAAGGUCACACCACUGCACUCCAGCCUGGGUGACAGAGCAAGACUCUGUCUUAAAAAAAAAAAAAAAUGCAGCCUCUUUCAUUGUUGAAUGGACUGAAGGAGUUUUUAGAAAGUCUUUCCAGAUCAUUCAUUUUACAUUUGAGAGAUUAAGCUUCCAUUUAAUUUUAUUUUACUUUCCAAAUAUGGAAAAGAAUUUGCCUAAAGUUUUUAGCAAAUCCGAAGUUAUUCAAGAAAUGCACUGGAAACAUGAUGAAUUCUUAACCUGUGUUUAAUGUUCAAUGAGAUGGUACAGCUUUCACAUUAAUUCAGGUGUUAACAUUUCUUUACCCUAUGAACUGCCUUUAACACCCUUAGCUUCCUUUUCUACUGGAUUGUCCAGAUUGUUUGAAUUUAUUUGUCAGAGUGCUUCUUCUUUAAACAAAAUUCAAAAUUUAUUCUCAUGCAUGUAAUACAUAAUUUUCUGGGGAGCUGUUAACUAUAGUUGUAGGUUGCUUAAGAGGUGAUACAUUCUGAGAAAUGGAUUAUUAGGCAAUCAUGGCUGUAGAACCAUCCUAGAGUGUACUUUUAGGAGUAGAGAUGGUGUAGCUUACUACACACUUAGGCAGCAUGGUAGCUCCUAUUGCUCCUAGGCUACAAACCUGUACAGUAUGUUACUGUAUUGUAGUGUAGGCUGUUGUCAAACAAUGGGUAUUUGUGUAACUAAAUAUGUAGAAACAGAAAAAAGUACUAUAAAAUGUGGCUUAAAAAAUAAAAAAUGGUAACCUGUAGAAGGCACUUGUGAGGAAGGGAGCUUGCAGGUCUGCAAGUCACUCUGGUGAGUCAGUGAGUGAGCGGUGAGUACAUGUAGAGGCCUAGGCCAUCACUGUACGCUACUGUGGACAUAAACACUGUAAUACACUCAAUUUACUUAAAAUAAUUUUCUUUCUUCACUAACAACCUUAUUUUACUGUAACUUUGUUUUUUUAAACAGAGUCUUACUCUGUCUCCCAGGCUGGAGUGCAGUGGCGCAAUCUCAGCUCACUGCAACCUCUGCCUCCUGAGUUCAAGCAAUUCUCACGUCUCAGCCUCCUGAGCAGCUGGGACUACAGGCGCGUGCCACCACGCCCGGCUAAUUUCUGUAUGUUUUUAGUAAAGACGUGGUUUAACCGUGUUGCCCAGGUUGCAAACUCCUGAGGUCAGGCAAUCCGCCCGCCUCGGCCUCCCAAAGUGCUGCGAUUACAGGCUUGAGCCACCACGCACGGCCAUCUUACUGUAACUUUUUUUUUUUUUUUUUUUUUAAUUUUUUAUUGGAUUAUAGGUUUUGGGGUACAUGAGCAGAGCAUGCAAGACAGUUGCGUAGGUACACACAUG